rnacentral:rRNA from 1 species
GUUAGGAAUAUUGGACAAUGGGCGCAAGCCUGAUCCAGCCAUGCCGCGUGAGUGAUGAAGGCCUUCGGGUUGUAAAGCUCUUUAGCCGAUGAUUAUAAUGACUGUAGUCGGAAAAUAAGCCCCGGCUAACUUCGUGCCAGCAGCCGCGGUAAUACGAAGGGGGCGAGCGUUAUUCGGAAUCACUGGGCGUAAAGCGUGCGUAGGCGACUUUGCAAGUUGGGAGUGAAAGCCCAGGGCUCAACCCUGGAAUUGCUCUCAAAACUGCAAGGCUCGAAUUCGGGAGAGGAUAGCGGAAUUGUCAGUGUAGCAGUGAAAUGCGUAGAUAUUGACAGGAACACCAGUGGCGUAAGCGGCUAUCUGGACCGAUAUUGACGCUGAGGCACGAAAGCGUGGGGAUCAAACAGGAUUAGAUACCCUGGUAGUCC